UAUUAGUUAGCUUAAACAAAAAAUAAAGAGUAAAGUUUUGAAGCAACUUAGGUAAAUUUUUAAUUUACUAAUAA
rnacentral:tRNA from 1 species